rnacentral:snRNA from 1 species
GGAUGUGAGGGCGAUCUGGCUGUAACAUCUGUCACCCCAUUGAUUGCCAGGGUUGAUUCGGCUGAUCUGGCUGGCUAGGUGGGUGUUCCCUUCCUCCCUCACCGCUCCAUGUGCAUUCCUCCUGAACCUGCACGCUUGAUCGAAGAGAAUGAUUCCCUGAUAGAGGAGGACCAUUCUUCUGUCAAGGGUAUAGGAGUAGCUGCGCUCCCCUGCUAGAACCUCCAAACAAUCUCUCAAGGUAGUGGUUUGUGGUACACAAUGUGUGUUUGGUCAGUUCUCAGUGAAUAUACACUUAAAAUUUGUUAUUU